rnacentral:lncRNA from 1 species
CCAGUCUGCUGGGAACUGGCCUCGCGGGGACAGCUGCUCUGCACGGGAACAAGAGGGAAUUUCCAGGGUUCCUGCAGGGGACAGAGGCAGGCUCUGCUCUGCUGGUUGGCACCUCACCCUCUGUGCCCACAGGGAGCUGGGCUCCUGCCUGUCCCUUUCCAGGCCACCCCUCCCACCUAUGCUUGCUGAUAUCCAGGGUGUUUGUCCCCAGACCGGUUUGCACCUGUCCCGUCUCUCCAUUGUGCCCCUGACUAUAAUUAACUGUUACAUAAGCUGCUGAAACUCGAGAACAAAUAGAAAAAGUGCGGUGGUUUCUGUGAAAAUAAACUUGAACCCCACAGGCCAGAUGCUUCAAAGGCGGCUGCAGGUCGACAGGUCUUCUGAAGGCACGGAGGGCUCUAUCUCCACUUUAGAGAGUCAAGCCCAGAGGGCGACGGCACUGUCCCGUGGGGUGGGGUAGGCAAGAGGUGUCGUCCAGUCUUAGGUCUCUGCCAGGCUCCCAGGAGAGGUCUGAGGUCCCCACCAAUAGAAUCAUGAGAAUCUGUCACCUACGCGAGUUAAAGCCAACGGUUCAAGGCAUCACGGACCCCCAGCACCGCGCUCCCAUUCAACCUAGCGCCUUCUGUAACUGGCACCUGCUGGUCCCCCCACCCCCCGCAGUGAGACCAAAGAACUCUGCUUCAUGACAGCCUCCAGCGUGGGGGACAGAGGGAGUAGACCCAGGUCAGAAGGAAGAGGGACACUGAGGGAGGCGCCAGACUCCAGGCCGAUGGCUUUCUGCCCCCCUGGACCCAGGCACCAGCCCUGUGCAUGAGGCAGGGCUGGGGUAACAGCCCCCCUCCCCAGAUGUUGCAAGUGAGGCCCCUAUGGGCAGCGUAGAUCUGCAAAUGACACCUGAGUCUCUGGGGGCUCGUCUCCUUUGCCACGGAGGGGGCUGGGCAGGCCUGUGUUAAGAAAUGCCACCAGUGGAAAAUUCACGUCACUUGCCAGAAAUAAAAAGUAACCAUAAGGUAAGCCCCACGAGGCCAAUAAUGUAAUUAAAUCCCAGGCCGACGACACUGUCCCACUGUCAAUUGGAGGCCGGACUCAGCCUACACCUCUUCUCCCC